rnacentral:misc_RNA from 1 species
GAUGAAGAACGUAGCGAAAUGCGAUAAGUAAUGUGAAUUGCAGAAUUCAGUGAAUCAUCGAAUCUUUGAACGCACAUUGCGCCCCUUGGUAUUCCGAGGGGCAUGCCUGUUCGAGCGUCAUUUCAACCCUCAAGCACAGCUUGUGUGUUGGGCCUCCGUCCUCCUCCCGGGGGACGGGCCCGAAAGGCAGCGGCGGCACCGCGUCCGGUCCUCGAGCGUAUGGGGCUUCGUCACCCGCUCUUGUAGGCCCGGCCGGCGCUUGCCGACACAUCAAUCUUUUUUCCAGGUUGACCUCGGAUCAGGUAGGGAUACCCGCUGAACUUAAGCAUAUCAAUAAGCGGAGGA